rnacentral:rRNA from 1 species
AGAACGAACGCUGGCGGCAUGCCUAACACAUGCAAGUCGAACGAGACCUUCGGGUCUAGUGGCGCACGGGUGCGUAACGCGUGGGAAUCUGCCCUUAGGUUCGGAAUAACAGUUAGAAAUGACUGCUAAUACCGGAUAAUGUCUUCGGACCAAAGAUUUAUUGCCUAAGGAUGAGCCCGCGUAAGAUUAGCUUGUUGGUGAGGUAAAGGCUCACCAAGGCGACGAUCUUUAGCUGGUCUGAGAGGAUGAUCAGCCACACUGGGACUGAGACACGGCCCAGACUCCGUACGGGAGCAGCA